rnacentral:rRNA from 1 species
GCCAACGAUCAUACCACGUUGAAUACACCAGUUUCCGUCAGAUCACUGAAGUUAAGCAACGUCGGGCGUGGUCAGUACUUGGAUGGGUGACCGCUUGGGAAUACCACGUAUCGUUGGCUCUU